GACGAACGCUGGCGGCAUGCCUAACACAUGCAAGUCGAGCGAGCAGAUCCCUUCGGGGUGAAGCUAGCGGCGGACGGGUGAGUAACACGUGGGCAACCUGCCUCAUAGAGGGGAAUAGCCUUCCGAAAGGAAGAUUAAUACCGCAUAAGAUUGUGGCUUCGCAUGAAGCAGCAAUUAAAGGAGCAACCCGCUAUGAGAUGGGCCCGCGGCGCAUUAGCUAGUUGGUGAGGUAACGGCUCACCAAGGCGACGAUGCGUAGCCGACCCGAGAGGGUGAUCGGCCACAUUGGGACUGAGACACGGCCCAGACUCCUACGGGAGGCAGCAGUGGGGAAUAUUGCACAAUGGGGGGAACCCUGAUGCAGCAAUGCCGCGUGAGUGAUGACGGCCUUCGGGUUGUAAAGCUCUGUCUUCGGGGACGAUAAUGACGGUACCCGAGGAGGAAGCCACGGCUAACUACGUGCCAGCCGCCGCAGUAA
rnacentral:rRNA from 1 species